rnacentral:rRNA from 1 species
GACGAACGCUUGCGGCGUGCUUAACACAUGCAAGUCGAACGGAAAGGCCCUGCUUUUGUGGGGUGCUCGAGUGGCGAACGGGUGAGUAACACGUGAGUAACCUGCCCUUGACUUUGGGAUAACUUCAGGAAACUGGGGCUAAUACCGGAUAGGAGCUCCUGCUGCAUGGUGGGGGUUGGAAAGUUUCGGCGGUUGGGGAUGGACUCGCGGCUUAUCAGCUUGUUGGUGGGGUAGUGGCUUACCAAGGCUUUGACGGGUAGCCGGCCUGAGAGGGUGACCGGCCACAUUGGGACUGAGAUACGGCCCAGACUCCUACGGGAGGCAGCAGUGGGGAAUAUUGCACAAUGGGCGGAAGCCUGAUGCAGCAACGCCGCGUGCGGGAUGACGGCCUUCGGGUUGUAAACCGCUUUCGCCUGUGACGAAGCGUGAGUGACGGUAAUGGGUAAAGAAGCACCGGCUAACUACGUGCCAGCAGCCGCGGUGAUACGUAGGGUGCGAGCGUUGUCCGGAUUUAUUGGGCGUAAAGGGCUCGUAGGUGGUUGAUCGCGUCGGAAGUGUAAUCUUGGGGCUUAACCCUGAGCGUGCUUUCGAUACGGGUUGACUUGAGGAAGGUAGGGGAGAAUGGAAUUCCUGGUGGAGCGGUGGAAUGCGCAGAUAUCAGGAGGAACACCAGUGGCGAAGGCGGUUCUCUGGGCCUUUCCUGACGCUGAGGAGCGAAAGCGUGGGGAGCGAACAGGCUUAGAUACCCUGGUAGUCCACGCUGUAAACGGUGGGUACUAGGUGUGGGGUCCAUUCCACGGGUUCCGUGCCGUAGCUAACGCUUUAAGUACCCCGCCUGGGGAGUACGGCCGCAAGGCUAAAACUCAAAGGAAUUGACGGGGCCCCGCACAAGCGGCGGAGCAUGCGGAUUAAUUCGAUGCAACGCGUAGAACCUUACCCGGGUUUGACAUGGAUCGGGAGUGCUCAGAGAUGGGUGUGCCUCUUUUGGGGUCGGUUCACAGGUGGUGCAUGCCUGUCGUCAGCUCGUGUCGUGAGAUGUUGGGUUAAGUCCCGCAACGAGCGCAACCCUUGUUCACUGUUGCCAGCACGUUAUGGUGGGGACUCAGUGGAGACCGCCGGGGUCAACUCGGAGGAAGGUGGGGAUGACGUCAAGUCAUCAUGCCCCUUAUGUCCAGGGCUUCACGCAUGCUACAAUGGCUGGUACAGAGAGUGGCGAGCCUGUGAGGGUGAGCGAAUCUCGGAAAGCCGGUCUCAGUUCGGAUUGGGGUCUGCAACUCGACCUCAUGAAGUCGGAGUCGCUAGUAAUCGCAGAUCAGCAACGCUGCGGUGAAUACGUUCCCGGG